CACCCCUGACCUCACCUCCCACCCUUGCGCGCCGAGGCUUUUUAUUCCCCUCCCCCACCGGCCGGCCUGCUCCCGCCAGCUCGCUCCUGGAGCCGGAGCUGCAGGGCGCGGGCCGGGAGGUCCGAGGCCGCGCGCCGAUCGAAGAGCCUCGGGACGCGGGCACCGGCCGGAGUGACCGCCUUUCUUAGGAGCGGAGCGCAGCGCCGGGGCUGGGGGUGGUGGCGAGCCGGGCGUCCCUGCAGCUAUGCUGCCUGGUGGUGGGCUCCUGGUGCCUCGGGCGCCCCUCGGUGGCAUUCGCUCAGCUCUCGAGUUUCCUCGGGCAUCUGUGGGCACACUGGCUUCCAGCUGCUCCUUAUUCAUAAGCGCAGGGCAUAGGGCUGUGCAGACCCCAUUAGGGGCCCGAGGGUCCAAAGGCGCCAGGCCACAAGCCCCCUGUUGUGUCUUCAACCCUGAACCUGCAUUUCCUAACAGGAUGGAACAACUUGUCAAAGAGCAGGGCCUGGAUGGAGAAGAACCCAAGUCUUUCUGCCCUGGCCCACCCUGGUUCACCUCUGCUCUUUCUGUGAGGGACCCUCCACCCCUGCCCUCAGAGCCCAGCCUGCCUGCCCAGACCUCCAGUGUGAAUGGGAAUGCGCUUCCUCCCGGAAAGCUUGGCCUCAGAUGGACGACCAGCUGAUCUCUCAGCUCACGGUUGUGAAAUCCGAGGUCCCCUCCCUCCGCUUGCCUUUCUCCACGCCUUCCGACAUGCCAGCCCCUCGAUUUUUCUGUUGAUUGACUACCCUCUCCGUGAGAACGUCUGUUCCAUGAGUGAGGGGCUCCGCAAAGCCCAGAAGACCCAUGGCUGCAUCCCCCGUUCCUGAAACAGUGCCUGGCACAUGAGAGCACUGGUUGGAUGGAUGGACAGAUGGAUGGACAGAUUGCUCCAUUCUCAGCCUCCUGUCCCAGAGACAGAGCCAGCCGGACAAGAUUGGGGUCAUCUCCAGCCCAGACACACUUCCCUGUUCUUUUCUCGUGGUUCUUGGGUGAAGCCUUGAGGAAGAGCAUCCCC
rnacentral:lncRNA from 1 species